CCACAACGUUGAUAGGCCGGGUGUGUAAGCGUGGCAACACGUUCAGCUAACCGGUACUAAUUGCCCGUGUGGCUUGAUCCU
rnacentral:rRNA from 1 species